AUGACAAUAUUAUUGCGGGAAGUGGACAUGGAAAACCCAUGGUGACUUACUCAUAUGAAGAUUUGGGAAAUGUCAAGAUUGACAGUGGAACUAGCAAGAUGAAUAUAACAGACGGGCUUAGUGGUUGUCGUGUGGCUCCUAUGAUUGAUGGUCUCCAACUCGCUCGUCUUGUUACGCACAACUACCCCGACCUAUGAACUGAUUAUCCCAGAAUGCUACUACUCUACUACUGUUGCUAUCUUUUGCUGUUGUUGCUGCUACUUUGUGCACUCCUUAAAUAAUACACCCGCCCCUGCGAGGAAGCUGUUGUAUUCCGUGAUACCAUAAUCUUAAUUAUAUAGUUCAUGAAUGAAUGUACUUCAGCUUUGUUUUCUUGUGGUAUAUAUUAUCAUGCUCAUAUAUACAUGCUUUUAUGCAUAUAAGUCCAUAUAUUGUACCUUAAUAGCUAAGUGCACUCCUACCAUAAUAUCCAUUGAUCACCAGUGAAGACAAAUAAAACCCACCUGGUUGUAUUUUCGACAACGAAUGGAUUUUAGUACUCAAAAUGAAGUAUCAAGUAGAUACACCCAAAUGAGCACACACCUAGGCUCUGCAUAGCUAAGAUGUACGCGGCCAACACCAACACACACACAUUCGUACAAAAACUCGCCGGAAAAUAACGAAGUCAUAUAUAUAAGACCAAAGCUAUGCCUAAAUGAGAAAAGAUUAAAAGAAACCUCUGAAGCGAUCAAAUCAGCGAUCGACAAACUAGAACUAUGACCAUAUUCAUACCAACCAUCUCAUGACACCACAAGGAUGACGAGGUUCUUCAAUAACAACACCUCCUAGAAGGAAGCAAUGCUCGAGCGCCGCCAACAAUGUAUCCAACAACCAAAGGUCGGAGUCUAGCAGGUUUUUACCCUAAAGAAUCAGUCAAAACAAUGCCUUCAACAAGGUAACCAUACAACAAUAUCGCCAUUGUCAGGUAUAACCAACUCGGGCAAGACCUAGUUUUCACCCUGGAGCUGUACACGGGAUACUCGAGAAGGACCACCAUCAAAGUUAAUCAUGUGUUAGUUGCCACCACUUUUCCCUGCAUCCAUGUGUUGGGCUAGAAAACUAGCCGCCACCACCGCACAAUCAUACCCUCUGUGUCAAGCCAUUGUCCACACAAUGCAUCUCACCUCAAAAGGAAACCAGCGACUCUCGAGAGAGUAAUCCUCACAAAGAUCUGGCGGCAUAGGGAAGAAGGAGCACGUAUUGCUAGCUGAUACGUCUCCGACGUAUCUAUCAUUUUUAUUGUUUCAUGCUAUUAUAUUACCAAUCUUGUAUGAAGUGCCAAGUGCGAGUUGUUUUAUAUCAUUUUGUAUCAUUUUGUGGGAACUAACCUAUUAAUCCGGUGCCAGGUGCGAAUUAUUGUUAUUUGCUUUUUUUUCCCGAAAAACUAUGCCAAAGGUAGUCCAGACGCGGUGAAACUUUUUUAUGCUUUUUCUGGACCAGAAGACACUCGGGAAUCGCCGGGAGGAGGCUAGAAGCCUCACGAGGAGACGAAAAUGCUGCAAGGGGCGCUCUGGGGCAUAGUCGCACGCUGCCCCCUUGUGGGCCCCCUGUUGCUCUAUUUGCCUUAUUCUCUAGCCUAUAAAUUCACUUUGGUUUGGCCACGGUUAGGCUAACCUGGCGAUUUGAAUUUUAUCUAUGUUGAUUUGAAAAAAACUUAGUGAGAAUGUCUCAAAAAAAAAAACCGAAAACGUACCCAUGGCAAGAAUGAUCAAAGGCUCCGUGUAGCCCGGAACCGAUAACGCUCGACGGAAUUUCAAGUUAGUUCUUAUGUAUAUGCAGGAGUAGGAGUAAGCACCUACAAGUUUCAAAGAUUUAAUCUAGAGCUUUCAGAGAGCUGAGUCUCAGACUGUGACUCACAUAUUGGAAAGACCCCACGUUCAGGUUCAGGAGUAUUUGGAACGUAGACAUACUAUGAUGAAAAACUGCACCUCUACACAUUAAUUGUAGUAAGCUUGCAACGACGAUUAACAUUGCAAAGAAAAAUAGACACCCAUAAAAAACACAUGACAUCAUAGAAAAAGCUCACAUUUCAAAAUUCAAAUGUAUUUGAGUUACACAAAUGAGACAUAUAUAUUUGGUGGUUCUGCAUGCAUACAUAGUUCUGACUUAAAUCGGCACAUGUGCGUAAAAUAGUAAUAGCUUUUUCGAGAGAGUAGGCAAAACCCAACAUGUUAGGGGUCCGUCCAUGGACGGACGGUGAAGCUUCUCAAGCAUGAACCGGCGUUGGAAGCUGAGGCUUCAUACAGUAGGGAUACCGGCAGCUGCAACCAGCGACGGCGAAGCAGAAACCAGUAUAGCAUGUUUCGUCACCGCAUCUGGCGUCUCCCGUCGGUGCUCUCAGGACGAGGCGCUCAACUGCUAUCCUUCUUGACUGCCCUGCUGCCAUCUCCAUCUCCUCCGGUGGUGAGCGAGCCAUGGCCGUCGGAGCCGCCGCCGCGAGCAGCUGCAGAGCCACCACCAGCGUCGCCAUGCCGAGUGCCUUCUUACGGGCGCUCUCCAUACCUUUCCCUCAUAUGAUUUUAUGCUCCCCCUUUCUUCUUCCUCAGCUGUCUCACACAAACUAUCACAGAAACAAAGGAGAAACAGGAGCUUGGCGUCACUUGUUCUCUUCUUCUGUUUCUCUUGGCUCAAAGUAAACAUGAUUGCAAUGCUUAAGUAGGAAUCCAGCACGCACUAAGCCACACGCUAACCUCGCUAACCCACUAACUCGGCCAGUAUCACAUGACUCGUCCAACAUGCAAAACACGCGCACAAAGCUAGCUAACAAACUAACUAACUGACUAACAGAUUUUCUCGGCUCCAAUUGAUUGUCCAUCCCAUGCAUGCGCCUUGUCGCUUCACACUGUUAUAGUGUAUAUGUAGAUUGUCUAGUUUUUUUCAUCGGUUCGGAUUUUUCGUUGCAUUGAAAAGUUUAGCAUCGUAUGAGCGUUUAAGGUCUUGAGUUCAAGUACUCGUUUUCACAUCUAAAAAAUUAAACGCUGCCUUCUUUGUGCAUGUAUAGGACUUUUGAGUCAUACCUUUGACUCUAUUCACUUGUUGACUUUCCAUUCACACGUGAGAGUGGGUGUUGUAGUGUAUAGUGGAUUGUCUAGUUAUUUUCAUCGGUUCGAGCUUUUAAUUGUGUUGACUAGUGCAUGAAGCUUAACAUACAAGACCAUGCCGCAUCGCACAACACUGCAAAGUGAUCUCCAGCUUCAUGCCACCGUUGUCAUAUUGCCGUGCUCAUCUCAUUGCCCCAUAGCCCGACAUCUCUCGCUCUUCGCAGCGUACAGCUGAAGCAUCAUUGACCUAGAUACAUUGUAAUAGGACCAUGACUAAUGUUAGUGUUGUUGAUGGUCGCAAAAUAGUGUCGCAGCAUGUCAGUGGGUUAAAGGCUAAGCACACCUAUGUGCAACGCUAUAUUAAAUUGAACUACUAUGCGGAGGAGGAGGAACUAUUUUCUGGUACGAGAAAACAAUCAGGGACAACUUUUUCUUCUCGUUGGCAGAAAGAUCAAAUGAAGCAACGCCUUGUUUUCUCCUAGGGGCCUACUACGCAUCCGUCACUUGAAGGGCCGUCCGAUCUACGCGUAGCCGUCCGAUCCGCUCCGGCCAGGCACCCCAUAAUUCCUGAAACGAUGGCUGAGUUACAGAAACUUUUACUUUGUUGCAAGAAAUAAAUUUUGGACCCGUUAAUUCCUGAAACAACGGUUGAGUUUCAGAAACAAUUUGCUUGUUGCAGAUUUUUUUUUCUUCGCCUUUCUGCAACAUAGAUACUUUUGCGGAAGAAAUUUUUGUAACAAAGGUCAUGUUUCAGGAAUUUUUGCAAACAAAAGUCAAGCUGCGGAAAUUUUUUGGAACGUUCAUGGGCGGCUGGCGGCGGCCGGAUGGCCGGCCGGCGUCGCGGCCGACAGGUCGGUGGGGUACCCGAAGUAGGUCAUGCCGUAGGGGAGCUCCGCCGUGGUGAGGUACUCCGGGAUGCUGUCCACGACGAGGUUGUCGGCGUCCGCCGCAGCCGCGGCGGAGCGGCGACACACUGCGGCCGAGAGGAGUUGGCGGAGCGGCGGCGCACUGCGGCCGAGAGGAGUUGGCGGAGCGGCGGCGCACUGCGGCCGAGAGGAGUCGGCGGAACGCCAUCAGGCAAAUCUAGUGGACGACCUCUCCGGUCGCGGAGUAGGUGGAGAUCUGGCUGUGCAGAGGAGGUGGAGAUCUGGAGGACGGUGGCCCAGUUUCUGAAACAACGAGCUAGUUUCAGGAAAUUGUUCGUGAUCGAGGCGAGAUCCAACGGACUAGUGGGCGGCGGAUGAAUCGCGCCGAUCGGCCGGUGGAUGAUAAUCUUUUCCCUUUCUCCUAACAUAAAAUAGUUCCUCCUCUUCUCGUUGAAUUUAUAGCGUUGCACAUAUAUAGGUGUCAUUAAUCUUUAACCCACUGACAUAGUGACACGCGGCACUAUUUUGUGAUCAUCAACAACACUAACAUUUGUCAUCUCAUUUUAUCUUAUCUUACCUACUAUAAAAGCAAGUUGUGUUUUUCUAAUUUUUAAUCCAUUUAUUACUAAAAAAAUCUUAUUCAAGAUGGUACUAAUUUUGUGUACGUCCGUCUAUGAAAAAAAAAAUCGGCUUCUCCAGAAUUUUGUAGGUGGGCUGCAUGCUGGCCCAGCGAAGCCAGCCCACUUAUUAUUUUGCCCACGCAGAUGGGAAAAUCCUAUUUACCGUGAGUUUUUUUUUUUGAAAUAACCACAUAUAUUUCAUUAGACAAACAUAUUACAUAGAGUACAUACAUGGUCAUCGCUUGAGACAUACACAUAAGUCUUACAUUUUUUCGCCAAGAAUUCUACAACAAGUGAAAAUAAAAUUUUACUAGUAAAGAACCUUGUGCCUUGCUGAAUCGUUGUCCACCUUUGUCUACCACCAUUGCCAUGGCGAGGCGAGAGAAAAGAGAAAACAUCCACCAUACCAAGAUCUAAGGGAGCAUCUUCGCAUACAAGAAUGCUUUUCGAGUCGAUUAACCGGACCGCCGCAAGCGACGAGACCGAAGCUUUGUGGCACAUCUGCCGGGGUUCAUCCCCGUGUCCAUUAGAGCUUGGCGCCAUCAACUUCAUACAACAUGAUUGAAGAAACGAAACGUCGUCGUCUGCCGCCAUCCACGCAACUGCAAGACCCCAAACACAACUACACAGGCCGAGCUCGCGACCGUCUAAGAGGACACCGAGCACCAACCAACAACACUUACACUUGCUAGAUCCGAAGACCACCGAGAAGACCUGGCUACCUGCUCCUCGGCGUCGCCAGUGAAUGCGUCGUCGAGGUGGGAGAAGAACAGAAGCACUUUAUUCCAAGGACGCGGCACCGUCCUCACCACCGAAACGACUCCCCACAAACAAACAUGACCAACCCUUCCAAAUAGCGGAAGUAGAAUCGCUUGGGUCCCCACCCCUAUACGUCGCCACAGAGGCAGACGGAGGAGGCGAGGACCCGCAGCCUCGGCAAUGGAGAAACGGGCAGAAACGUCGCCUACAAAUCACGUGCAACCGUCCACGAGCGAAGAGCGAAGCGGUUUGGGGGGUUAGAGCUUCGCACUUGGACCCCAAGAAUGGGCUGGCCCAUUAUCCUUUGUUUUUGUGUUCUAUUUUUAUUUUAAUUUUCCUUUCUGUUUUGUUUUCUCCCUUCCAAGUUUAUUUUAAUUUUAAAAUGAUUUCCUAAAUUCAAAAUAUUCUAAAAACGGUUAGAACCAAAGAACAAUUGGAAAAUGUUCAGAAUUCUAAAAUUCUAUUGCUAUUUUGAAAAAUAUUCAGAACUUCAAAAAAAGAUUCCCAAUUUUGCAAAAACUGUUUGAGUUUUCAAAAAUUGCUUGAGAUUUUAGAAAAUGCUCCAAAUUAAAAACAAAUGCUUUACUGAAAUGUUCGCAAUUCAAAAUAGUUUUUGCGUAUAAAAGAUACACAUUUUCUAAAAUUAUUCCAAAUUUUCAACACAUGUUUCCGUUUUAAAAAAUUGUUCACAAAUUCAAAUAACGUUCAUGUAUUUAUAAAAGUUUGGUCUUUUCAAAAAAUUGUUUGUGAAUUGUAAAAAAGUUUGUAUAUAACAUUGUCACGUUUUCUCAAAAGUGUACAUAGUUUUCGAAUAACAGUUAGGGUUCUAAAAAGUAUUUCAUGUUUCCAAGAAUAUUCGGAAACUUCAUACCUUCAAAUCCCCUGAUUAAAUGGAAAAUAGAUCACUGCUUUAAAGUCAUAGUGAAGUAGGAAGUUUGACAUGAAGGAUCUUGUUGCUGCUAAGAAAAUUUUGGAUAUGGAGAUUACAUGGGACAGAAAUUCUGGUUUGCUUUUUCUUAGUCAUCAAAGUUACAUUCAAAAAGUGCCUCAUCGUUUUAACAUGCAUGAUGCUAAGUCAGUAAGCAUUCCCAUUGCUCCUCACUUGAGAUUUUUAUUUUCUCAAUGUCCUAGUAUAGAUGAAGAUUUUGAGUAUAUGUCAAGAGUUCCAUAUUUUAGGGAUGUCAGUUCUUUAAUGUAUGCCAUGGUGUGUACUAGGCCUGAUUUAUCAUUUGCAAUGAGUUUGGUUAAUACUCCCUCCGUUCUUAAAUAUAAGUCUUUUAAGCGAUUUCACUAAGGGACUACAUACGGAGCAAAAUGAGUGAAUCUACACUCUAAAGUAUGUCUAUAUACAUCCGUAUGUAGUCAUCUAGUGGAAUCUCUAAAAAGACUUAUAUUAUGAAACGGAGGGAGUAGAUAGUCCCUCCGUUCCUAAAUAUAAGGUGUAUAAUUUUUUUUAAAGUCAACUUCUCUAACUUUGACCAAGUUUGUAGACAAAAAUAUCAAUGUCUAGAAUACCAAAUCAUUAUCCCUAUAUUCACCAUGAAAUAUAUUAAAUUUUACUUAUUUAGUAUUGUACAUCCUUAUAUAUUUUGCUAUAAACUUGGUCAAACAUAGAAACCAUUUGACUUUUUGAAAAACUAAUACACCUUAUAUUUAGGAACCAAGGGAGUAUAUGGCUAAUAAUGGUAAAGAAUAUUGGAAGGCGGUUUAGUGGAUUUUCAUGUAUCUUCGUGACACUUCCAAUGCUUGUUUGAAAUUCGACGGGACUUGUGAGGGACUAGGUGGCUAUGUGGGUCUAGAUUUUGCUUCCAGCGGUUUGGACAAGAGGAGGCCCCUUACAUGUUAUGUGUUCAUGGUUGGUGAUUGUGUUGUGAGUUGGAGGGCAACACUACAGCCAGUAGUUGCCCAAUCUACCACUAAAACAGAAUACAUGGGUAUUGCAGAAGCAUGUAAAGAAUCAAUUUGGUUGUAAGGUUUGUAUCCUGAGCUUUGUGGAGAUAAUUCUUGCAUUAAUAUGUUUUGUGACAGUCAAAGUGCCAUAUACCCCACUAAGUAUCAGAUGUUCCAUGAGAGAACAAAGCACACUAAUGUCAAAUACCAUUAUGUCCGAGACAUUGUUGACCUGAAGGUAUGCAAGAUUAAUACUCAUGAUAAUCAUGCUGAUAUGUUCACAAAGCCAGUUCCUGUUGCUAAGUUUGAGCUUUAAAGCUCAGACUUAGUCGGUAUAACUCAUUAGUCCUAAUGGUUGUUUGACGCUGAAGUGCUUUCUUUGUUGUUCAGGGAGAAGGUUCUCGUUCAUGCUACAAGAUGGAAUUUGUCUCAAGGUGGAGCGUAUUAUGUUAUGCUCCAAAUUCAUGUAUAAAGAGGAAGGCUAACUUCCGACGAGCGAGCGUAGUGAGGCCCGUUGCCGGUAGGCUUGGGCCAAAGCGGAUCGGUAUUGACCUAGGUCACAUGUGUCAUGUAUACCUUUUGUAAGCCGCCGCACGGGAUAAGUAGAUCAGUUUAAAACUCGAGAUCGAUGCUUGUAGGUAUUGCAAGGAUAGUUCAACCACUUGAGUUGUUCCCAAGUGAAAAAAUUAGUAGGAGAACCAAGGGAGCUGCAAAUGUCUUAGCUAGGAGAGAGGGUUAUUUGUCUCUAUAGAUGUGCCCUUCUCUUUUCCCUUGAGAUUGUGGAUCAUGUUGGGCUAAUCUAUUGGUCUACCUUUGUGAAUGUCACACCCGAUAAAUUCCCCACACGCUCUAUGCAACUCUUGUUUACUACUGGCUUUUCAGUUCCACAUUUUUUCUACCAAAAGGUUGAUAACCCACAAGUGUGGGCGACACAGAUCUAGCUCCAGUUCAUCAAUAUAAUGUAGGCAUGUAUUCCAUAUAUAGUCAUACGUGCUUGCGAUAAGAACUUGCAUGACAUCUUUUGUCCUACCCUCCCGUGAUAGCGGGGUCCUAUUGGAAACUAAGGGACAUUAAUGCCUCCUUUUAAUAGAGAACCGUAACAAAGCAUUAACAUAUGGUGAAUACAUGAACUCCUCAAACUACGGCAAUCACCGGGAAGAAUCCCAAUUUAUGUCACCUUGGGGGAUGCGGAUCAUGACACGUAAUAGGUGACUAUGACUUGCAAGAUAGGAUCCAAAACACUCUUAUAUUCAUGAAAACAUAAUAGGUUUAGAUCUGAAAUCAUGGCACUCGGGCCCUAGUGACAAGCAUUAAGCAUAGCAAAGUCAUAGCAACAUCAAUCUCCGAACAUAGUGGACACUAGGGAUCAAGCCCUAUCAAACUUCACUCGAUUACAUGAUCAAUCUCAUCUAAUCUCACCACCGUACAACAAGCCUACAGACGAAUUACUCACUCCCGGUGGUGAGCAUCAUGGUGGUGUUGAUCAAGAAGGGUUGGUGAUGACGACAGCGACGAAUCCCCCUCUCCGGAGCCCAAAGCGAACUCCAGAUCAGCCCUCCGGAGGAAGAACAAGAAGUGGCGGUGGUCCGUCUUGUGAAACGCGAUGAAAUCUUCUCUCCCCCUUUUCCUCCGCGAAUAGGAAUUUAUAGGACAACAAAUAGGGUCGGAGGAGCCACAGGGGCCCACAAGCCAUCAGGGCGCGGCCAGGGCCUGGGUCGCGCCCUGUUGGCUUGUGCCCCUGGCACACCUCCUUCAACAGGUCUUGGCUCCAUAAUUCAUUAUAAUUCCCAGAAAAAUUCACAAAAAGUUUCGUCAAAUUUCGAGAACUUCUAUUUCUGUACAAAAAUAACACCAAAAUGUUCUGCUGAAAACAACGUCAGUCUAACUUAAUUUCAUCCAUAUCAUGCAAAUUAGAGUUUAAAACAAGAGAAAAAGUGUUUGAAAAAGUAGAUACAUUGAAAUUAAGAUCAAGAUCUAAAUUAAGUGAAAAUUUUGUAAAAUACGCACAAGCAAACAUAUCACGACUAGAUCAAGACGCCAAUAAACAAGGUAUACUGACUGGUAAAAAGAUGCAUCAGAGAGAGAUAUUUAAGUUAAUCGAUAAUAUUAAACAAUAGUAUAAUUAAAACUGCUCCUCUGGAUAGACGUUGCCGUAAGCCAACCAACGAAAACUUGAUUGUCUCCACUCGUCACUUUGGCUGCAGCUCCAAUACUUGAUUGAAGCAAAAAAAGGUUUGCUGGUUCCAGGCAGGUCACCAUGGUUGCAACGUCUCCGUCUCUUGUUGCAGGCAGGUCACCAUGGCCGCCAUCGAAGCAAAAAAAUCCGCCGAUACUUGAUUGAAGCAAAAAAANNNNNNNNNNNNNNNNNNNNNNNNNNNNNNNNNNNNNNNNNNNNNNNNNNNNNNNNNNNNNNNNNNNNNNNNNNNNNNNNNNNNNNNNNNNNNNNNNNNNNNNNNNNNNNNNNNNNNNNNNNNNNNNNNNNNNNNNNNNNNNNNNNNNNNNNNNNNNNNNNNNNNNNNNNNNNNNNNNNNNNNNNNNNNNNNNNNNNNNNNNNNNNNNNNNNNNNNNNNNNNNNNNNNNNNNNNNNNNNNNNNNNNNNNNAAAAAAAAAAAAAAAAAAUCUAAAGCAAGAAAACUGCCAGCACUUGGUUGGAGCAAAAUGAUUUCGCGGUUUCACCAAAAAUGGCCGGCGUCUGGUGCAAGUAUGGCGUGGCGAUGACGAGGAAUCAGGCAUGUCAAAUUGGACAACAGGCAAGUGGUCAUGAAUCCGCUCUUGCUCUGCAGCACACGGCACCUUUUGCUCCAUCGGUCUUGCUGUGCGGCAUCUCUCGCGUGGAUACGUCUAUUUUGAUCUGUGGUGUUGCCACCUACGCCAAGGGUCUUCUCAACCCUGGAGAUGACGUGCAGCACGGCGUUGUCCGACGCUAUGCCGGGGACGCCGUCGGCCUGGCAAUGGCGUCUGCAACGACUCAUUUUCUUCGUCGAGGAGGUUGAUGACCGAGGCGGCGCUUCGGCGGGUUGGCAUGCUUGGAAAUGGUAGAGCGGCUAUAGGUUGCGCUUGUUGUGCCUCAGUGUGUCGCGUGCUGCCUAGGCUUAUGCCCAACGUUGGUGAUGGGAAACCGAUGAGAAGUGGCGGGAAAUGGUGGCGUGUUCGGAUAACGUCAUGAAUAUCUUAGCGAUGCUCCAAGCCAUGAACGAAGGAAGCACGAUGCGUGCACGUAUAUUACUUACCCACAGGUGUGCUCGAUAUACUCGUGUGCGCAAUAGAGGUUAUAGAACAGACAAUUCACACCAAAGAAUUGUAUGUCCUAUCACUAUACCUUACCAUAACUCGGGCCAGGCCUAAAAAGCCCAUAGCAGGACACCCAUGCACAGGUCAAGCCCGGCCCGACCUUUCGGCUUACUUUUCAGGCCCAAGCUCGGCUCAUCAAUGCAAAAGCCGGACGGGCCUCGGGACAGGCCUCCUCCCUAAAACGCAUUUAUGUCAAGCCUAAGCCGGACCUGCCCUGGCAUCCGGGCUCAAAAUCUAGGCCCAGACCCGACCCAUGGGCAAGACCGAGACAGACCGGAUCGAGCUAUUUCGUGACAGGUUUUCCAUGGCCACAUAUGGCUGACACAUGUUGGCACAGAAGAGUUGACUUUAUGAACUGUGUGUAUAACUUUCAAAUCAUCUCACACAAGUAUUUAUGUCACGCUUCGUGUGCAAUGCUUCAAGCCAUCGCAAACAUUUUGUGCUUGUAAAUCAUUUGCCAAGAAUGCACGUGGUGACACACACAGAAAUGUAUGCAUUAUGAACACGUUCGCACAUGAACACAUUAAGGAUCGUUAGAAUGGUGGCCAACCAGCUACGCCACUUUGCGCAUGUUGGUUAAUCACAGUGAGAAAGUCUUUGAUUUUUUUAGUCUUUUUCAAAUGUCAACCAGUUAUGCCAUGUGGCACAUGCUGGUUGGUCGCAAUGAGAAAGUUUUUGAUUUUCUUAGAAUUUUUUUAAAAUAAAAUUGAGACUUUUUCCUUUCAAGAAUUUUUUUUUAGUUUUUUUCCUUUUUAAGAUGGUUGUGAUGUUCACAUAUUAUAUCAUUUUUUUAUUUCAAGGUAUAGGUAUGAUGUGCACAGCUUCCUCUUAAGCGCCCGCUACGUCGGACCCCAACCACUAGUGCAAAUUUAUAAUUAGCACUUAGCAGUGUGUUAACUAUUACAUGUGGUCUUCAUCACCUAAUCGUGCCCGAUGAAUGGACCAAUGCACACAUUUCGUUUUCUAACACGAGAGUAUAUUUUGUUAUCGUUUGAGAUUUCUGCAUCGCAGACAAUUUAAUUGAUUGGUGUGCGAUAUAUGUGUCGUCUUAGGUCCUUCCAAUAUUAGUGCGAGGUCCAAUGAUAUGGUAUCUGCUGCCGUGAGCCUUCAUUAGUUUGACUUACUAUCGCCACCUAGCUCGUGUCACAAGUGCACGUAUUAGGAAUGGCUUAAGUGCAUGAUGAAAACCAAUAGGUUGAUAAACUAGGGACCAUGGUGAUAAUCAACAUCAAGACCAAUUUGGAGUUUGACAAAAUAAAUGAAAUAAGGGACAAUCUUUCGCCAUUAAGUAUCAUACUAUGUUUUAUUAUUGAAUCCAAAUGGGAAUACAACUUUUGUGUCAACCAACACAACCACUUGGUCCACCAUAGUGGAACAUAUAACCCUUCUUAUAAUCGAGAAAUAAAUCAUUUGCUCUAUAACAAUCUAGCCUAUCAACUAACUUGACCAUGGGAACGUCAAAGAGGGUAUAAGAAUGACCAUUUGGGUUGAUAUACCGAAUGUGCUUGAAAUACCCAGAUUUCUUAUCAUCAUGAUCGGGGAAGUGGCCGCUACCCAUUGGAGGACCAUGUGCAUUCUUCAAGUAAUUCACGAAUCCAGUCAAGGCUUGUAUACGUGGUGUUCCACGGCAAAGCUUCUUUGGAAAAUGUCCCAACAAUGAUAGUUUUUCUAAAUCAUGACGGUACACCACCCAAUCUUCGGAAUUUGGAUCCUGUAGUCAACGAAAGAUUGAUGGUCAAUAAAUUUCAUACACAAUAAGAGUAGAGAAUAAGUUGUUAUUAGCAAAAAACUUUCGGUGACAAUACAAUUUCCUAUAUUCUAAUUAAUGUUACAUAUUUUCUUAAUAAGAUAACAAUGGAUAUUACUUAUUAACCAUGUGAAUUUAUGGCUGACUAAUUUUCACUCUAACAAAAUCUAUAUUUGUUAAUUUUGAUCCUCCAUUCUUAAAUAGUACUAAUCCACUAAUUAUUCUUUUGUUCAUGCAGCCAUGAUACAUGAACAAGUCAUACCACAUCAACAAGUUAUAAGUUAACUUUUCUUUCUCUACAUGCAGCCAUACAACAUCAACAAGUUAUGCAUGUUCGUCUUAAGUUAUAUUUUUUACAUGUGCUUAUUUUUUUUCUAUCCAUGCAGUCCUACCACACCAUCAAGUCAUGCAUGCUCCUCAUAAAUUAUUACUUUGUAUUAAUUUUUUGUUGUCAUGAAGGGAUUGUGUGUUGGACACCAUGAGGAUACCUAUGUAGUUCAUGUUUCACUUUUUUUGAAAAAUGACAUUACAUUAAUCGCAAUCCUACUUUUUUUCUCUUUUGUAGUUGUUGUUAUAGCAGGGAGCUCCUAUGCGCCGCAUUUUCGGCGAGUAGCCAAACGACGAACACAGAGGCAGCAACCUGGGCCAGCCCAGUAGGCACGCGAGUACUAUAGCGUUUCCUCUUAUUCUUUCUUUCUUUUUUCCUUUUUCUGUUAUUUGUUUCAUGUUCUAUUUAUUUUAUUUCCUUUUCCUUCUCUUUCUUGUUCUUCAAAAUUUCAAUUUUUUUCAAAAUUUCAAAACAAUGUUCAGAAGCUCAAAAAAUGUUCCUAUUAUUAUUUUUAUUCAAAAUUCAAGAAAUGUUUCCAUAUUUUAUUAACAUGUUCACCUUUCAGAAAGUAUUCAUAACUUCAAAAAACGUUUGGAAUUUCAAAAAAUGUUUGGGAUACUCAAAUAAUGUUCAUUUUGCCAAAUUUAUUUGGGAUUUUCCCAAAAUAUAUUCUUGAUUUUAAAUUUUGAAUGAAUUUAGAAAAAAGAUAUUUUUAAAUUCCUUGACAAUUUUGAAACAUAAAUGUUUUUAUGAAAAUCGUGAACAAAUUUUGAGAUUGAAACUAAUUUUGUACACAGGAACAUUCUAUGAAAAUGAUGAACAAAUUUUGAAAAGGAGAACAAUUUUUAAACACGAAAUAUUUUUAUUAAAUCAUGAUUUGUUUUGUUGAAAAAGCAAAACAUAUUCCUAAAUCCUUGAUGUUUUUACAAAAUACGAUUUUUCUUUAAAAAUGUGCAGUUUUUGGAAUACGAGAACAAUUUUUGAACCAGAAACAUUUUUUAAAAUAUGAAUACAUUUUGAAAGCAAGAACAUUUUUUGCAAUUCCUGAUUACUUUUUAAGCAAGAACAUUUAAAUAUAAAUUGUGAACAAAGUUUUGAGCACGAUAAUAUUUUUUGAAAUUCAAAACUAAAAUUAUAAAAUGUCAAACAAAAGGAUUAGGAAAGGAAAAGUGAAAAUAAGAAAUAAAAUAGGUCAAAACGAAAUAAUAACAUUUUUUGAAAAUCUGGUACAUUUUUUUAACUUAUGAUUUUUUUUUUCUUAAAAACAGAAACUAUUUGAAAUUUAGAACGUUUUUAUAUAAGCAAAAACAUUUUUCGAAUUUUAUGAAGAAUUUUUGAACGUGAACUUAGUUUAAAACAUAUAAAAUAACCUUGGAAAAAAAGAAAAAAGAGGAAAUAGAAAGCAAAAAAAAAGGAAAGGAAAAAAGAAACAGAAAGAGAAACUGGAAAACGAAAAAAGAUUAAAAAAAAAGGUAAAAAAAGGUUCAGGAACCUCCUGGAGCCUCGACAAUUCGUCGCAAUAUGCUGCGAAUAGGGUUUUCCGUUAUAGCAUGCGUGUACGUGUUUAAUUUCAUGAGGUUUCUGCAACACUGUGAGAUUAUGGGACAAAUGGUGCACCUGGUUGAGGCUAAGCCUAACCGAGUAGUCUUGUUCCCCAUAAAUUGAUGGAGGAGCAAUGGCUUGUCCAGGUACCAGAUUAGCUCCACUUGCAGAAACAAAGCCUGGGCACUUCAAGUUGUAGCACCCCCUUGAUUUCAAGUCCUUCUGAGGAAUAAAAAAAAGGAAACAUGUAUUAUUAUGGAUGUAAAGAGACUUGUAGUUAGUCCAAUAAUGCCUCUAACUCCUACAAAAUACCAAAAACUAUAUGUGCACCAAAAUAAUAUAUAAUUUGUUAAAAUGACAUUGAUUAUACUUACAGUCCAAUAUGUAAAGAAGCGAAUAUCUUUGUUGUGGUAUAAGGAGGGGGAAAUCUGUAAUAAAAACAUGAUUAUGAAAUAGUAGUUUAUUCAAAAGUAGUUGAAUUUACAAGAAUGGGUGAUAUGUUUAUACGUGAAAUCCAACUUGAAUUAAGUUGUAGUUUCCUCCAUCUUGACAGUACAUCUGUAAGGAUGUUCCAGAUUCUUGGGAGUUUUCUUGAUUUGGUGAAGCCCAUAUACUCAUCUCAGCUCGAAGGCCAUAGAAUUGUCCUGGCUUUGUGUGCCACAUUGCAUACUAAUGAGAGAAAAGUAUAGCUCAAAUUAGUAGAUAACUAGAAAAAUGUAUAGAGAACGACAUAAUAAACAAGUGAGGUUGUGUAUUCUUGGCCUUAUAUGAGGUUCACCUACCAUACAUCUACAAUGCGUAAUUUUUCAUCCUCUUUUGUAUUUAGUCUAGAUUUUUUCCAUCGGCAUUUGUUGAGUAUAUCAUGGAAUUUAGCUUCCUCCAUAGGAUGACGUGUCAUUGCAACGAAGUGUACCAUUUGUGGUGAUGCAUGGAAUGAUUUAGUUCAUGUGCAUUGUCGAUGGUGUUACUCGAGUUCUUAGGCUGAGAACAUCUUCUCUCAUCUCAUGACAGGCGGAAAACAAUAUUUGGUUCUCUCUUUGAUACAUGUGAAGCGUAUUUCCAAUAGAGUGUGUCUUAUAUGCCUUUCUAAAUCUAUAAUUAUUGGUAUUUUGGUAGCAUGUUUUGUAUGUAAUGAUCAUUGCUUUCGCGGUAUAUAGGGCAUCAAACUUAGUUUAUUUAGGUGUAUGCCUUUUUAUCUGGUGUUUAUGUACCACGUUGUCUCUCUAGCCAUUGACCAUAAAUUAGCUUGACGAACUAUGAUUUAGUCGCAUAACUAAUGAAUGUAGAUUUAUAUUGUUUUCUCUUUGUGGUUUAACUAUGUGAUUCUUAUAUUAAAAAUACCUUGAAUUUUCCUUUUAUAUUUAUCACGUGUCACUAUGGUAUACAUUGUGAUGUUUUUUGUGGUCAAUAUUCACCAAAAAAUCAACAAAGCAUCCCAAAUCUAAUACAUGAAAAAGUAAAGAGAUAUAUAGAAAGAGAGUUGGAGCAAGUGUGUGUACAUGAGAAAUAAUGCCGCUUCCUUCAUCCUUGAUAUUAGCUCUCCAAGGAAAAUGUAAAGAUUUAGGUGUUAAAAGUGUGGUGUUCUGCAGAGCGAAAUGUUAGUCCGUGACUGGUUAGCAUGUAUAAUUGAUACACAAAUUCCUUGAAGGAUAUAAGUAUUUGUUUCCAUAUAUUUAUCCUACAUUUUAGUUGGGAAUAUAAGUAACAUAGAGUAGUUAUGAAUGAUUACAACCAAUAGAAAUUAUCAAUAUUAAGAGGUCAAAUUGAUAGAAGGACGGGAUGAAUACAUAAACCAAUUGAUAAAGAGUUCUACAUGUCAAAAGCUAAAAGUAAAAUGUUGGUUACCUUCUCAUCUGUCACAAGAUUGCCAUCUAUGUCUAUCGAAUCAACCAAGGUGAGUUCCCAAGUUCUACAUAAAAAGCACACUAAGACUAGUAUGACAACAUAAUCGCCUCCCAUUUGUAUGGGUAAUUGUGCUCCUAUGAACAAAUUAGUAACUUAUAUGUAUGAUUUGUAUGGAUGAUUCCUUACAUACAUGUAUGCUCUUUAGAGAACACAACUUAUAUAGAACCAAGCCACAUUAUAUUUUUGGAAAGCUUUAUAUGGCAUCAUAUUGCUGAUGUACUCAACAAUUAAUGAGUACUCAUCCGGUUCACAAAUCUUUCUAAGAGUUGGGUAUAAAUUAAUUAUUCAAUCAAUUUUCAUUAAAUACGGAUUUGGUUUACAUCCAAUUAAUGAUUGCUUAGUGGAUUAUGUUUUUAUAAGGAUAUAGAUCAAUUUAUGCAUAAAUAAUCAUUAAUAAUGGACUUUAUGUACAUCCUAGGAAAGGAAGUAUGAUGAUCUAUAUUUUCUAAUAUGCAAAACAAUUUGUGUUGUGUCAAUGUUCCUCUAAAUGUGGACCUUCUUUACAUCUAAUGAAUGUUCGAUUUAUGGCAUAUCUUUGUCUGGAUACGAAUAUAGAUAGACUUUUCAUCACAUUUAAUUUCAUAAUAGACUUUAUUAACACUUUCUCGGUUUAAUCCAUAUAUCGGUUAACUUAAAGGGAGUUUCCAUAUUAAUUGUAGGGAAAUUGGGCUAAUGCUAAUAUUAAAACACCUACAACACAUGGGACCUUUAAAUAACCUGGAUACAAACAUAUACUAUAUAUACCACAUUGACAAUACCCAUAUUUUAAAUGACCCACAAAUCUCAUUAAUCACAAUUCAUUGCCUACAAUCUACGACCAUGAUAUGUUUCAAAUGUAUAUUAUAUUUUUUGCUUGUUUCAUGUCAUAUUUAUAUUAAAUUAUCAUCGUUUAGCACUUAUUUUAAUCAUUUUAUAUUAUUGUUUCUUGACUAAUCUAUUAAUAUAGUGCCUAACGCCAUGUGUUUUCUUGUGAUUUUUGGAUUUCCUAGGAAAAGAUAAUUUUAUCAGGUUUAGAAAAUCCUAGAAACAUGCAAUGAAUGUGUGGGAUCCAUAAGCUUCCGGGGGGAUUGACAUAGGCAAGGGGCCACACAACGGCCCUCGGGCCUUAUGGGGUCUGUUCCCUUGUCGUGUGCCCCCACCUAAGCCUCUACUAAAUUUACCGCUUCUCAGUCACCGUGCAUGUACAUACUUCCUACGUUCCUAAAUAUAAGGUGUAUUAUUUUUUUUAAGUCCAACUUCUCUAACUUUGACCAAGUUUAUAGAAAAAUAUAUCAAUGUCUAGAAUACUAAAACAUUGUCACUAGAUUCACCAAACAAUAUAUUUUUAUAUUUGACAUAUUUUAUAUUGUAAAUAUUUAUAAAUUUUGCUAUAAAUUUUGUCGAACAUAGACAAGGUUUGACUUUUUGAAAACCUAAUACACCUUACAUUUAAGAACGGAGGGAGUGCCUUUUAAACCAAUCAGGAAUUUGUGACAUUUUUUCGCCACAACAUGUCGUCGUUUAUUCACGAUCCAAUCAAGAGGCCUUUUGGGUACUCCGACCGAGGGGGAAAUCUUUCAAGGGGGCCAUCUCCAUCAACUUGAUGGCCACGAUGAUCACCCGUUAGUAAUUUUCUUUGGACUAUGGAUAUCUUGCAGCAGCUAGUUGGUUUUUUCUCUUCCAUGUUUGUCAAUAAAAAGAUCACGUGAGCUGCCCUACAUGUCCGUGAUUCAUUUGAUUUAAUUCUUACGGUGUGGUUGUCAGGAUAUGAUGAAUUGUUACUUUAUGAUCGUAUUUAUCCAUGAAUUCUUUUGAGAUAUAUUUUGUUUCUUCUUUGCAUAACCCUUAUUCAUAAAUGCUCUCUAGUCUAUUCUUCUUUCACUGGCAAAGUUGGGGGUUUGGUAUACUAGGGGGAGUUUUGUAUGAUAGUUGGGUUCAAUCCUGCAAGUAAUAUACCGCAGUGACAAAAAAUAGAAAAGAAUUGCAUUAUGUUAUUGCCGCUAGGGUCAAAAAGAUGAUUGCAUAUUUGUCCUUUGAAUGCAGGGUGAAGACGAUAUAUCAUGAGUUGAUGUCACUAUUUCAAGCCAUUAGAAAACUAAACUCAUUAAGUUAUCCAUUGAGUGAAUGCCUAUUGAGAAGUUUAAGUCAUAAUCUUUUUACUUAAUAGUUAAAAUAGUUAAUACUAUGAGAUGUAUGCUAGAUGGUGGUCUUGGGGUAGAAUAUUAGAUAUAGAUGUAGUUGAAUGGCACUCUAUAGAUUUUGGUAUGUGAUUCUCAUAUGCUAAUUAUGUCAUGGAUAAUCACAAUCAUAAAUAUUGCAGUUUAAUCCAUGCUCAAUUGUAAUUCGUUUAUCACAUAGUGUUACCUUUUUGGAGAGAAACAACUAGUGAACCUACUAAUCCCGGACUACCUUCUUCCUAUAAUCUUUCAAUCACAAGACAAACUUUCUUUUACUUUCUUGUUGCAAUCAAAUCUUCCAUACACUUGUGCUUUUAAUUCCUCCAAACUAGUGAAGCUACUCAGGUUGACAACCUCACUAGCUCUUAGUUGGCGACACAGAGACGUUUUAUUUUGUUUUGUUUGUAUGUGUAUGUACCAAUCACUAGUUACAAUUUCGUAGGUCUUGUGGAUUUGUUAAGCCUUGAGAUGACUUGAGAGGAGAUGUUGCUUGUUGCAAACCCUUGCACUUGGGCCCCAACACCUUCAUAAUUGAGAGGAUGAGAGACUUUUUCUGGCGCCAUUGCCUCCUGAAAAACAAAUACAGACCAGCAAACAACAAAUAUAAUCUGGUCACAAAUGCAAUGUAUGUUACCAAACUAUGCGCACAAUAUGCUUUUAAGCCUGCAUUAAUUUAGCUUGUCCCUGUUGAGUCACGUAUGCAAGGGUAAAAAAACAUCGGAGUGCAGGCUACCAAACAUGUCCUUAGAGAAACUCCCGUAGAUCCCGUGAAAUACCAGUAUAAAAUAACUAUCGUUUUACAUUAUGAGGCAAAAAAAAUCCAUCGUAGAUACCACAAAAUGCAUUAUCCUGUAAAAAAUUGUACAUCUCCCCCCUAAAAAAUGACCCUCGUACCCUACAUAUACAGGUUUGCACGCAAUUUUUGCACAGACCUGAAAAAAGAGAAUUGGUUCGCAGGAGAAAAUUUUGAUGUAGCAGUGGCUGGUGGUCAAGAUCCCGUGCGUCGUCAGUCUCUCGAUGAAUAAGUGGUGUGAAUUUUGGGUUCACGUCCAGAACUUUCAUGGGUAGAUGGUGCUUGGUCGAGGUUGACGGUACUUCUACCGCCUCCAUAGGGUCGUCCCCAGCGACUUUGUUGUCCUGCGGAUCUCUGGCCUUGCCCUGAAGGUGCAUAUCUACAACCACGAUAGCUCCAUCUGGUGCAGCAUGCGCUGCAGCAGGCACAACUGCAUCUGGGACAUUUCGCUCACUCUGUAGAUGGUGUGAACUUAGUAUGAACUUGUUCGUUAAUUUGCGGUGAUGGGGACAACUUAUGCCGUGAACUGUUAAUAUUAUGGCCAGGGAUCAACACCUUGGGGUGAAGCUGGGGCAUGAGAUGCCUCUGUUGUUUUGAAACCUAUGCCCUACUAGUAAUAUGCAUGUUUACCCGCUGUUAGCUGCUUGUUUAUUGUUGUUUAUCUGUUGUGCUCUUAUUUAGUGCUACUGACUGCUGUUGUGUUGUUAAUGUGGUGGCAAGGCCAUCAUAUUUGAAUGAGGUGAGCAGAAAACAAACGUGUAUACACGCAAACAACUGUUGUUUGCAUCUUCUCACCCGUAAAAUACAUAUGUGAGCAACCAAAUAGCUCGCCCUAAAGUGGUCAUUGAUCAAUGCUGACAACCAAAGAACAUGUAAAUGAUGAUUAAUUGCCUAGUUUUUUCCAACCAAGAUGAUGGAGAUGUAUAUGAAAUGCAGGACAUACAUGUUGGAGAAGGCAACCAAACAACAUGGAGAUGAUAGUUUUCUCAAAUAAAAGACAACCAAACAACUAAACAACAACCAAACGGAAAACCGCGCUUUGCGUCAAAUAGUCGGACGAUAACACAGGGGGCGAUCAACUAGGCCGGCCCAUCUCCCUCUGCAACCUUAUUCAAAAAUUAAACAUGACCAACUCGGUUUUCUUCUAUGUCUUUUUUCUGUUCUUUCCUCUUUUUUUGUUUUCUCUGUUCCUUUUUAUUCCUUUACUUUUCAAGCUUAUUCAAAAAUUUCAAAUAAUGUUUAUGACUUUUUUCCUUUUUUCUGUAUCUUUUUUCUUCCUUUUAGUUUCCAUAUUUCAUUUUUUAAUUUCCCUUUGUUUUGGAAAGAAUGUUCGUGUGUUAUAAAAAAUGCUCACAAUUUUUGACAAAUGUUCGUGCUUUAAUUUUAUUCAUGAGUUUAGAAAAUGUUCAUAUUUCCAAAAACUUUUUAGCUAUUCAAAUUUGUUCGGGAGUUUAAAAAAUUGUUCACAUUUUCAAAAAAUGUUCACGUUUCCGAGAGUUUUUCCCAUUCUUUUUUUUCUGUUUCCGUUUCUUUUUUACUUUAAACUUUCAAUUUUCUUUUUUUCUUUUUUCACCUUUUUCCUGUUUUUGUUUUUUUUUCAUUUUCAUUUUCAUUUUUUCCUUUUACUAUUGUUCUUUUAUAUGUUCAUUUGUUAUGAAAAUUAUUCGCAAAUGUUAAAAAAAUCAUUCAUGUUUUCAAAUUUGUUCGGCAGUUUCAAAAAAUGUGUAUGUUUUCAGAAAUUUUUCGCAAUUGCUAAAAAAUAUUUGCAAUUUUGGAAAAGUUUAUAUGUAUUAAAAAUAUUUACUUUUUAUUUAAAUAUUCGAUAAUUGAAAAAAUGGUCGUAUUUUGAAAUGUUGUUAAUAAAUAUAAAAAUGGUUUGUUAUAUUAAAAAUUUGUUCGUGUUUUUCAAAUUUGUUCGAAAGGUAUUGGUUCUAAAUUUCACAACUGUUUGGAUAUUCGGAGUAUCAAAAACAUGUUCCCGUUUCCAAAAUUGUUUAAUUUUUUUAAAAAAUAUUAUGUUUUCUUCAGGAGUUUCAAAAAAUGUUCUAGUAUAAAACAUUGUUCGCAAAUUUAAAAAAAACCUCAAAAUGGUUCCGUUCAAAUUUUUUUAGAAUCGGUGAACGGAAUUAGAACAAGUUUUGGAAUUUAUGGACAAGUUGUCAAUUUGUGAACAAACAUUAAAAAAGCAGAUAUAUUUUUGUAAAAAAAGCAUUUUUUGCAAAUAAUUGCCAAUUUUUUGAAAUGGGAACAUUAUUUGAAAUUUCAGAAUAAAAGUUGGAAGCACGGACAUAUUUUGGAACUUCUGAAAAAUUAUAAAAGCACAAAUAUUUAAAGUAUUUGUGAACAAAUGUUCUUUAGAAAUUCAUUUUUUAAAAAUUCGAACAGUUUGCUAAAGAAAAUUUGUGAAUUUUGUUUCUUUAAUUACCGAACAUUUUUGUAAAUAAAGUGAAGAAAUUUUAAAAUUUCACUUUUUGUGGAAUUUACGAAUUGUUUUUUAAAGCGGUAGCAUUUUUUUUAGAAAUGAACAAACUUGUCAGAAUGCAAACGUUUUUAAAUAAAUUGAGAAAUAGAAAGUAAAAUGAAAAGAAAAGAAAAAGAAGGAAAUCGUCAUAUAUUUUUGUUGAGACAAAAUAAAGCUGGGCCGACCCUUGCGCGGCGCCUGCCUGGUACACGCAGCGCACAUUAAGUAGGAGGUCCGCAACCAAACAACCAAAAAAACUAUCAUCCGCAUCUACAACCACGAUAGCUCCAUCCGGUGCGCCGCAGCAGCCACAACCAAAACGUUUCGCUCGCGCGGUAGAUGGUACGAACUUAGCUUGAACUUGUUAGUUUGCGGUGAACUUGUUAAUAUCAUGGCCAGGGUUUAAAACCUAUGCCCUGCUAGUAACAUGCCCCUUGGUGGCGCGGUAAUUACACGAAAAGUGCCACCGAGUGAUAAUACCCCCGCCACCCUCAGAGAAUCCGUCUUCCCCACACACACCCGCAUCUCAUUCCCCCCCGACCGGCCGGCUAGGGUUUCCCCCCGCCGACGGCCGGACACCUCCCCGCCGCUCUCGGCCGCCACCCCGCCAGAUCCUCCACCUCGUCCGUCCACCUCGCUGUCGGCUGAGAUAAGCGCCUCCCCGGAGCCGGCAGAAGCCCUCCGCUCCCGAGCCGACGACCACCUCCCCCCGACGGCACCGCCAGCCGCCCCCCGACGGCAGGAGGGAAGCAAAGGUGAGGACUUGCGGCGCGUUUAUUCCCUCCAUGGAUCCAGUUCCCAUCAUUUUGAUCCAUGCGCGCCUCCGUCAUGAAUUACGCCCGUAGGAUUUCGCAAAGCGGCGCCGUAUCUGGGGCUGAGAAAAAAAAUAUUCUACUUGCGGAGUCCAGUGGGAAGACUGCGUGCGUUUGUCUGCUGAGCUAGACUGCAUUAGCGUAAGACUGGGUUAUUAUCAUAUACUCCCUCCGUUCCAAAAUAUAAGACCUUUUAGAGAUUUCACUAGGAGACUACAUACGAAUCAAAAUGAAUGAAUAUAUACUUUAAAAUAUGUCUAUGUACAUCCGUAUGUAGUUCAUAGUACAAUCUCUAAAAGGUCUUAUAUUUAGGAACGGAGGGAGUAACAGCAAAUCCCCGUACCCAAGCACUUCCAGUUCUCUGUGUUAUGCGUUGUUCUUCUUCUUUUGCAUGGAUCCAUUGAAUCUCCGUCGUGAUUGAAGCCAUUAGGAUUUUUGAAAGUUGCAGCAGGGACAAGGGUAGUCUAUGUAGAGCGGAUGCAUCUUUUAAUGAUAUACGACUCAAAAGGUGUACGUCGCUUGUUCAUAGACGUAACUGUGUUGGCCUUUGAAGCGCCGAUACAACGGACGCCGGACACGGGGGGCACGGGAUAAGGCGUUUCGCGGAAACGGCCAUGUGGCGACAAGGGGACUAUACAUAGAUAAUCCAAAAGAUAUAGCAUGUAAUGUAAUGAUGACAUAAUUAUAACUUUGAGGUGUGAGAUCAAAGUAGUGCCCGUUUGUUAUCUACUGAGUGAUCAAAGAUAUAGCUUUCUGGGCUGUUGCGGUUAGCGUGUCGGGGUUGGGUGGGCUUUACUCGGUGCGCUCUCUCCCGUAUCCUGAACGUAGCCCUGGCGUACUGGUGGGAUGUACCUAUUUCUUUCCUUUUCUAAUUUCGAAAAACAGGGGUAGGGGAUACAGCAGACUCUGGAGUAUCGGUGCUUUGCUGUCUUUAACAUGUUGUUUAAGUUGUUUGCAAGUUGCUUUUAAAAUUUGUUCAUGAAAGGUUGUUUUUGGUGUAUAAGGUAGUUUUUGCUUUUAUUAUGUCUGUUAUUAGUUUGUUUUAGUAUAUAAGGUAGUUUCUGUUUUUCCGAUGUGUUAAUUUGAUCUGAUACUGGAUUUGUGUUGCGUGCGCAUAGAUGCAAAUGAAAGGAAAUGGUACAUCUUAGGUCCAGGUUCCUGCGUUUUCCUAAUUAGAAACAUUGAUUAUGAUGUGUUUUCCUAAUUACAAACAUUGAUUGUGAUAACUAGCUUCCACAGCUUACUAAAUCUGGGCAUUUUCCUUUUAUUUGCCUUUAUGCUCAUGUGCCACAAAUCAAGUGAAAGGUCCAGCUUAGCAGAAAAUAAACGAUUCCAUGCAGUAACUAUGGUAAAAUCCUUGCUGUAGUCCCCAAACGCCGCAACAUUUGCCCAUAUUUGGGCUUUCUUCCCAUACUUGUGACUUAACCCUUGACUCACAAAAAGAUGUUCUUGUAUAACCUUCAAACUUCUGCUUGACUCCAGAUUCAAGGGAUUAUUUUGAAUUAAAAUCAAACAAAACUAAGAGAUAAUAUUGAUACACUUGGCCUGAAUCUUUGGUCGAUUCGUUACUGCCCCAUUUCAGCCAGGAUUCAUGUAACCAGCUAAAAUUCUGGAAAAUCCUGCCGCCCUGAUGGGACCGAACAUGAAAAUCUUCGGGAUACUCGAGUGUAACUCAUAAAUAUGCGAAUCAAAGACCACAUGAUGAAACACCUCAUGUGUUACCUGGUGGUAAGUUGCUAGUUUUAACGCGAUUGGCGGAGGCAGGAUUUGUAGAUUGUGUGUGCAGAUAGCUCAAAGCUUAAAUUUUUUACUAACUAAUUAUUAGGUUAACACAGAGCUCUAAGCUCUUUUUACAAAAAAUAAUGGGUGUACAUAUGUAUACUCAUGCCCCUAGCCCCUCCCCUGUUUAACGCACAAUUGGUCACAGGCUAUUCGAAUCCCCGUUGAGCAUCGUUUUUUCUCUACGAGUGUGUAUGCAACACAAUUUCCGAAGCUGGCAUAUUAGGUCCCAUACACAGGUAGUAAUAUGGACAAUAAUACGAAACUGAUAAAUGUAACAUCAACUGCUUAAAUCCUCAACGGUCAACCCAAGGAACAGGACUCUAACAACUACAGUGAGAGUGUUGCUCUGUUCUUCUGGUAAGCCCUCAAGUUCUUGCUUAACUUCAGAUUUUGAAUUUCCUAAUUUGUUUGGAACUAUUUGGCAUUAAAAUCCUGAGCCCCUGUAAUAGUUUCAGACUGUAGCCAAAACUCUGUGUUGAGCCCCCACAAUACUUGCCCUUGCUGCUUUGACAUGAAGUAGCAGUGAACCCACCUGCUGAGCUACCAAUCUGGUCGUCUGUUCUGAUCCAACAGGCCUAACUACCUGCUAUGAUACGACGUGGGGAAAUUGGGAAGCCAAAUCAGCACGGCUGUUCAGUCUGUGUGGAGAAGCGGACGUACCUUUAUUUACACAACACUUUACAUUCAGGAUACUGCGGAGUACCAGUGCUCCUUUUUACUAGGAAAUGGACCAUUCAACGCAGCUGGAUGUAGUACUAUGUAAGGAAGAUAUUCAUUCGUUGUUUGCAGAACCAGAUCAGAGCGAAAUAUUAUUAGCAAGUUUGGCUUUCUUACCAACAAAAUAAUUCAGUCAAGGGUAGGAGGAAAAGAGUUUGAUAAGGCGGCAUGCCACUGUGGAAUUUAGAAGUUUUCUUUAGUUUAUAUCUGAAUGAAUAAUAUCGUUAAGAGUGAGUUUUAACAGCUUGUUGUUGUAAUUUUUGCUGCAGCAAUAUUCAAGUUGUCUUCUUCCUUGUUCUUUUUCUGUUGACUUGCAUUGAUUCUGUUCUAGUUGCAACUAUUUACCUCAGGCCGGGGUUACUCAUUUAGAAUUUGUUUAUGUAGUUGAAAUUUUGCCACUUUGCCAGUAUAAUCAUGUGUCAUACUGAAAUCGUUUAGCAUACCAUCAUGCUCUCUCACUCUGUUGUAGCAGAGCAGUUUGAAAACAAAUCUACUUGCUGUGAAAAUUCCAUUGGUUCCGUGUGUAAUUAGGUUACUGCUAGAUUUGAUUUAGAGUUAUUAUCUGUUGUAUUUAUGUCAGCUCUUGAUUUUUCAUUUUCAGUCUGCACUGCACACAAGUUACUGAAAUUCACUUUCCAGCACAGUGGNNNNNNNNNNNNNNNNNNNNNNNNNNNNNNNNNNNNNNNNNNNNNNNNNNNNNNNNNNNNNNNNNNNNNNNNNNNNNNNNNNNNNNNNNNNNNNNNNNNNUCGUGACGUCCGUGAUCUCAUCUGGGACUCCGAACAACAUUCGGUAACCAACCAUAUCACUCAAAUACGCAUAAAACAACGUCGAACCUUAAGUGUCCAGACCCUGCGGGUUCGAGGACUAUGUAGACAUGACCCGAGAGACUCCUCGGUCAAUAUCCAAUAGCGGGACCUGGAUGCGCAUAUUGGAUCCUACAUAUUCUACGAAGAUCUUAUCAUUUGAACCUUAGUGCCAAGGAUUCAUAUAAUCCUGUAUGUCAUUCCCUUUGUCCUUCGGUAUGUUACUUGCCCGAGAUUCGAUCGUCAGUAUUCGCAUACCUAUUUCAAUCUAGUUUACCGGCAAGUCACUUUAUUCUUUCCGUAAUACAAGAUCCUGCAACUUACACUAAGUCACAUUGCUUGCAAGGCUUGUGUGUGAUGUUGUAUUACCGAGUAGGCCCCGAGAUACCUCUCCGUCACACGGAGUGACAAAUCCCAGUAUCGAUCCAUACUAACUCAACGAACACCUUCGAAGAUACCUGUAGAGCAUCUUUAUAGUCACCCAGUUACGUUGCGACAUUUGAUACACACAAAGCAUUCCUCCGGUGUCAGUGAGUUAUAUGAUCUCAUGGUCAUAGGAACAAAUACUUGACACGUAGAAGACAGUAGCAACAAAAUAACAUGAUCAAUAUGCUACGUCUAUUAGUUUGGGUCUAGUCCAUCACGUGAUUCUCCUAAUGACGUGAUCCAGUUAUCAAGCAACAACACCUUGUUCAUAAUCAGAAGACCCUGACUAUCUUUGAUCAACUGGCUAGCCAACUAGAGGCUUGCUAGGGAUAGUGUUUUGUCUAUGUAUCCACACAUGUAUAUAAAUCUUCAUUUAAUACAAUUAUAGCAUGGCUAAUAAACGAUUAUCUUAAUACAUGAAUUAUAAUAAUAACUAUAUUUAUUAUUGCCUCUAGGGCAUAAUUCCAACAACAUUGCGCCUCAAUAAAUAGCAAUUCCUCUGUAAAAAAGGAAAAUUAAUCGCUUUUCUUCCAGAUAAUAAUAGAAGGAAUCCGCGAACAUUGUUGCCAGAAUCUGGCACCCCGAAUGCAACAGCAACGCACACGAGUGCGUGCUAGCUACAUAGCACGGUGCACACACUAUCACCACAUCUUUGGAGUCGCCCGGCCUGGAAUCCGGUACCCCGAACGCGACAAGAAAAGAGAGUCAUGCCAGCUAAACCCACAUGAUACACACACGAUGCCAUGCGGUCAAAUGAUACGUAGCGUGUAAAGUCCUCGAAAGUUCUUUGUAUAGGAUCUGUUGUUUGAGAUUCAUGAGAGACGCGGUCUGGACACCGGACAUUCAUGAGAUAAUCCGCGACAGUGUUGAGGUUGAUUAUUAUCUCAAUGACACCGACACUAUAGGGAGCACAUACUUUGCCGUCUGCCAUGGCGAACGGAAAAGGGGGACACCCCGAACGGCAAAGGCCUUUGUCAUCCAUCAGCAGACAGCAAACUGGACGGCAAACAAAAAUCCGGUGAAGGGCCUCUUUGCCGUCUGCGUUGGGACAGUUGACAGCAAAGGAUCUAUGUCGUGAGGGGCAGACGACAAAGAAUAUGGGACGUCACAUCUGCGGGCACCUCCGUCAAGUGCUAACGGCAACCUGCUGGGCCCACAAAUAGUUUGACGUCUGCCCUUUGCCCCUUUUCCGUCUGCCGUGCUGGUGUACUGACGGCAAAGGCACCGCUAAAGCCCCUCUCAUUUGCCCCUUUGUCGUCUGCCCUUUGCCCCUUUGCCACCCGCCGUGCCAUUGGGCUGACGGCAAAGGUACAACCAAAUCCCCUCUCAUUUGCCCCUUUGCCGUCUUCUCUAGCUCCUCUCAUUUGCCCCUUUGCUGUCUGCUCUAGCUCCUUUGCCGUCGGUGGGCUCAUGGCAAAGGCUCCAAACGGCCACUGUUUAUUUUAUUUUUAAUAAUAUCCAGCAAUUUUCACACAAACCAAGAAUAUAUUUCACACAAAGUGCCCCAAAUGACAUAAUAUAUUUCACACAAAGGCUCCAAAUGACAUAAUAUAUUUCACACAAACUACCCAUACUCAUAACCAUAUUAAAAUAAGUUUCAUCCAUAAUACAUACAUAUUAUGCAAGUUUCAUCGGUACCAAACCAUAUAUUACACUAGUUUCAUCCAUACAUACAAAGUUUCUAUCCAUUUACUACAAUAGUUUCAAUCCAAGCUUCCGUGAAGCUAUUUUAGAACAAACCAUAUUGAAGCACUCCAUCAAUAUAAUGCAAGCUUCCGUGAAUUGAAUGUAAUCUGCAAAAUGGGAAAUAAGUAAGUUAGAAGAAGAAGACUACAUGAAUAGGAGAAGAAAUAAGUAAGGUUCAUAUCCAUUUAGCUCCAAAAAGACAUACUUAGCUAAUUCAGCUCCAAGAAGAGGAGAAGAGGAGAAAUGAAAAGAAGGAAGAAGAAGAAGAAGAAGAGAAGAAGAAGAGAAGGAGAAGGAGAAGGAGGAGCCUUCUUCUCCUUCUUGUUCUCCUUCUUCUCCUCCUCCUUCUUUUCAUUUCUCCUCUUCUCCUCUUCUUGGAGCCAAAUUAUCUAAGUAUGUAUUUUUGGAGUUAAAUGGCCUAAUUAUCUCAUUUUAAGGGAAAACAAGGUAAGUAUAUAAUAUUCAUGAGCUAACCAAGGUUCUUAUGCCAUUAUGACCUUAUUAUGUCAUUUUGGAGCUAAAUUAGUCAUUUUAAUGAGCUAACCAAGGUUCUUAUGAUGUUUUUACCUAAGUAAGCUAAUUAAGGGAAAAUAAGCUACGUAGAAGAAGGAAGAGAAGAAGAGGAGAAGAUAAAGAAGAAGGAGGAGGAGGUGGAGGAGAAGGAGAAGGAGAAGGAAGAGGAGAAGAAGAAGAAAAGAAGAAGGAGAAGAAGAAGGAAAAGGAGGAGAGAAGAAGAAGGAGGGUUCCUUCUCCUUCUUCUUCUUCUUCUUCUUCUUCUUCUUUCUUUUCAUUUUUCCUCUUUCUUCUCCUCUUGUCCUCUUCUUCGAGCUAAAUUAGCUAAUUAUGCCUUUUUGGAGCUAAUUAUGUCAUUUUGGAGGAUAAUUAGGUAAGUAUAGGUCAUUGCUACUUCUUGAGCUUGCGUUGGUUUUUCCCUUGUAGAGGAAAGGGUGAUGCAUCAAAGUAGAAGUAAGUAUUUCCCUCAGUUUGAUAACCAAAGUAUCAAUCCAGUAGGAGUAUCAACAUGAGGAACCAAGGCACCUGUGCAAAAACAAACAAACUUGCACCCAACGUGAUAAAGGGGUUGUCAAUCCCUUUACGAUUGUUUGCAAAGUGAGAUCUGAAAGAGAUAAAAGGUAAAAAGGAAAUAAAAGUGCAACAAGGUAUUUUUGGUAUUUUCGUAGAUCUGAAGGUGUGAGAUAGACCCAGGGGCCAUAGUGUUCACUAGAGGCUUCUCUCAUGAUAGCAAGUGUUGUGGUGGGUGAACGACUACUGUCGAGCAAUUGAUAGAAUUGCGCAAUGUCAUGACGAUAUCUAAGGCAAUGAUCAUACAUAUAGGCAUCACGUCCGAGACAAGUAGACCGAUACUGUCUGCAUGUACUACUAUUACUCCACACAUCGACCGCUAUCCAGCAUGCAUCUAGUGUAUUAAGUUCAUAACAAACAGAGUAACGCCUUAAGCAAGAUGACAUGAUGUAGAAGGAUAAUUUCAUGCAAUAUGAUAUAAACCCCAUAUUUUUACCCUUGAUGGCAACAACACGAUGUGUGCCUCGCUACCCCUUCUGUCACUAGGUGAGGACACCGCACGUUAUGAACUCAAAACCAAGCACUUCUCCCAUUGCAAGAAUCAUAGAUCAAGUUGGCCAAACAAAGCCCAUAACUCGAAGAGAAUUACAAGGAUACGAAAUCAUGCAUAUAAGAAAUCAGAGGAGACUCAAAUAAUAUUCAUAGAUAUUCUGAUCAUAACUCCACAAUUCAUCGGAUCUCGACAAACACACCGCAAAAUAAAGUUACAUCAGAUAGAUCUCUAUGAAGAUCAUGGAGAACUUUGUAUUGAAGAUCGAAGAGAGAGAAGAAGCCAUCUAGCUACUAGCUAUGGACCCGAAGGUCUGUGGUGAACUACUCACGCAUCAUCGGAGAUGCAAUGGUGUUGAUGAAGAAGCACUCCAUGUCCGAAUCCCCCUCUGGCAGGGCACCAGAGAGGUCCCCGGAUGGGAUCUCGCGGAAACAGAAGCUUGCGGCCGUGGAAAAGUAUUUUCGUGGCUCUCUCUGUUGGUUCUGGGAUUUUAGGGAAUUUAUAGGUGAAAGAGGUAGGGCAAAGGAGUCACGGGGGCCCAUGAGCCUGCUAGGCGCUCCCCCUCCCGCCUAGGGCAUGCCUAGGGGUCUCGUGAUUUCCCGCGUGGCCCUUUGCCUUGGUUCUCAAGUCUUCUGCGUAUCUUUUGUUAUGGAAAAAAUCAUCCUGAAGGUUUUAUUCCGCUUGGACUCCGUUUAAUAUUCUUAUCUGAAAAAGGUCCAAAACACGAAAAAAACAGAAACUGGCACUGGGCACUGAGUUAAU
rnacentral:lncRNA from 1 species